rnacentral:rRNA from 1 species
GAGUACUAUGGACUAAAAAGUUUAAAACUCAAAGAGCUUGGCGGUGUUUUAGACCUCUCAGGGGAACCUGUCUCAUAAUCGACAAUCCACGUUACACCUAACCUUAUUUUGCUUUUACAGUUUGUAUACCGUCGUCGUCAGGUAACUUUUAAAAAUUUAAAAGUUAGCAAAAAAGUUAUAUAAGCUUAUACGUCAGAUCAAGGUGCAGCUUAUAUUAAGGUGAGGAUGGGUUACAAUUAUAAAAUCAUAACUACAAAGUAAUUAUAAUAAUAUAUAAUUAUAAGGAGGACUUGAAAGUAAACUAAAUUAU